rnacentral:rRNA from 1 species
UACAGAGGGGGCAAGCGUUGUUCGGAAUUACUGGGCGUAAAGGGCGCGUAGGCGGCCUGCUAAGUCGAACGUGAAAUCCCUGGGCUCAACCCAGGAACUGCGUCCGAUACUGGUUGGCUUGAAUUCGGGAGAGGAAUGCGGAAUUCCAGGUGUAGCGGUGAAAUGCGUAGAUAUCUGGAGGAACACCGGUGGCGAAGGCGGCAUUCUGGACCGAUAUUGACGCUGAGGAGCGAAAGCCAGGGGAGCAAACGGG